UUCCUAGUAUUAAUUAAAUACUGUUUACAAAUUUGAUUUAUAAACAUGUUAUCUAUGAAGGUGAUCUAUGACUAUAUAUAAAUAACAUUCGUCUUCAUUCUGCAGUAGGUGUUAUAGCUCAAUACGCGUAUACAGAAUGAAUUGGCUAUUAUCAUCCUGUAUAUUUCUUUUGGUUAAAUCAUCCAUCGGUGCCAGCAUUGUUGGUGAAGUGGUACCACCUACUAUAGUUCAACAAGGCGAUUUGCCACCGAAAAUUAUUGAAAAGGAUAGAGGACUAGUGGACCCUGAAGAACUGACAGAUUCAAAUAGAGAGGUAAAGCCACGCCCUCCUAAUGAGGGUCAAACCGAUGUUGAUGGCGAAGUCCAUGACAGGAAGAGACGAUUUGUUGAAGCAAUUAAUCAGCUGUGGCCAAAUCUAGAAGUACCCUGGUAUUUUGAUGAUGCUAGUUUCGGUGCUGGCGCAGCUGGUGAAAAAUAUGAAACAAUAGUGUCUAUGAAAUUAAUGGAAGAGAGAACUUGUUUAAAAUUUAGAGAGAUCAAUUCAACAGAACAUAGUUCUGGAACAACAGCGCAUGCCGUCUUUCGAGAUACUGGUCAUGGCUGUAGCAGUGCAUUGGGAUUUAAAAACGUAUUGACUGGUCAGAACAUAAACUGUUGUUCCCGG